rnacentral:misc_RNA from 1 species
AAUCCAAGAAUUUCACCUCCAACAAUUGAAUACUGAUGCCCCCGACUAUCCCUAUUAAUCAUUACGGCGGUCCUAGAAACCAACAAAAUAGGAUCGCACGUCCUAUUCUAUUAUUCCAUGCUAAUGUAUUCGAGCAAAGGCCUGCUUUGAACACUCUAAUUUUUUCAAAGUAAAAGUCCUGGUUCCCCGACACGGCCAGUGAAGGCCAUGCGGCUCCCCAGAAGGAAAGGCCCGGCCGGACCAGUACACGCGGUGAGGCGGACCGGCCAGCCAGGCCCAAGGUUCAACUACGAGCUUUUUAACUGCAACAACUUUAAUAUACGCUAUUGGAGCUGGAAUUACCGC